rnacentral:rRNA from 1 species
GACGAACGCUGGCGGCGUGCUUAACACAUGCAAGUCGAACGAUGAAGCCGGAGCUUGCUCUGGUGAAUUAGUGGCGAACGGGUGAGUAACACGUGAGUAACCUGCCCUUGACUCUGGGAUAACUGCUAGAAAUGGUAGCUAAUACCGGAUACGACCCUCGGAGGCAUCUCCAGGGGGUGGAAAGAAUUUCGGUCAAGGAUGGACUCGCGGCCUAUCAGCUAGUUGGUGAGGUAACGGCUCACCAAGGCGACGACGGGUAGCCGGCCUGAGAGGCCGACCGGCAACACGAGGACUGCGGCACGGCCCACAGUCCUACGAGAGGCAGCAGUGGGGGAUAUGGCACAGAGGUCGCAUGGCUGAUGCAGGAACGCCGCGUGAGGGCCGACGGCCUUCGGGUUGUAUACCGCAUUUAGUAGGGAAGAAGCGAAAGUGACGGUACCUGCAUAAAAAGGACCGGCUAACUACGUGCCAGCCGCCGCAGUAA